CUCUCAACCCUAAAUAUUUCAAAGAGGCCCUUUUCUUCUCCUUUGUAAACCCCAAUAUUUCUGAACUGGUCCUUUUUUUCUAUUCUCAUUCCAAUAGAAGAAGAGACAGUUCUUUUUAUAUUUUUAUCUUUUCCGUGGAAGGGCAACAAACGAUUGCUGUUUUUCAGCUGUCACCGGAUACUUUUAAAAUUUAUUUGGUCGUAAAGCAGGACCUAUCGAACUGAUUGAAUGACCCUGUGGCCGCUCCAAUUGAACCAUGGCUUCAAGCAUGUUGACAGGAGAGCGGAGGUGGGUUUCUGCACGAAGAGGAGGCAUGACUGUUUUGGGAAAAGUUGCCGUUCCAAAACCUGUUAAUUUACCCAGUCAAAGGUUGGAGAACCAUGGCUUGGACCCUAAUGUGGAAAUUGUACCAAAGGGUACACUAAGCUGGGGCAGCCGUCCAUCUUCAACAGGGAAUGCUUGGAGUUCUUCAGCACUGUCACCUCAUGCCAAUGGAACUGCAGGUUCGCUUAAUGGUCGCCCUUCAUCUGGCGGAAGUGGCACUCGUCCAUCAACUGCUGGUAGUGAUAGAUCUCACGAACCUGCAGCUAAUGCAUGGGGUCCAAAUUCAUGGCCAUCAUCAACAUCUGGGAUGUCUGCAACAAAUCAGACAUCGGUUACAUCACUGCGCCCUCGAAGUGCUGAAACAAGACCAGGUAGCUCUCAGCUAUCCCGAUUUGCUGAAUCCGUGGCUGAAAAUUCAGGUGCAUGGGGGGGGCCAGGAACUGCUGAGAGAUUGGGAACUGCAUCCUCCAGGAUCAGUGAGUUCACUCUGAGUUCUGGAGAUUUUCCGACACUUGGCUCUGAAAAGAGUUCAGAGUUGCCUUCACGACAAGAUCAUAGUUCUCAUGGACGUCCUGGUUCAGCUUCUAGUGGUGCAGCUCCUCAAAAGGAGAGGCCAGCUACUUCUCCAACUGAAGAUGGAUCUGUAGAUGCAAGUGAAGAGAAGGGAAAUGUAAAUACUUGGAAAAGGGAUACCUCGCCAUACCACGGAGGUGGGACCCCACCAAGCAUGGAGAAGUGGCAAAGGGAUCCACAACAGGCACAACCAUACCACAAUCAGAACAUGUCACCCCAUCAUUUUGACCCGUGGCAUGGUACUCCAAUCCGAAAUCCUGCCGAGGGUGUAUGGUAUAGAGGGGGACCUCCAGGUGGCCCGUAUGGACCAACGGGCCCUCCGGGUAGCUAUCCUCUUGAACCAUUUGGUUAUUAUCACUCUCAGCUUCCAGCUAGACCAAUGCCCAACUCACAGAUUCCAGCCAGACCGGUACCUAACUCUCAGGUAGGUCCUAGGCCAGGAGGUGGUCCAAGUGGGUACCACCCAAAACCUGGAGACACAUAUCGCCCUCGCAUGCCUGACUCUUACAAUGUUCCUAGUUACCCUGUGAUUCCAGUUAGACCUGGAAUGUACCCUGGUUCAGUGCCUUACGAUGGUUAUUAUGGUCCUCCCCGUAUGAGUUUCUGUAAUCCCAACGAAAGAGAUGGCCCUGCUAUUGGGACGGGGCCUCCUAAUGUUUACAGAUACCCAAACCAGAAUGUCCAUCCUGAACCUGGCAAUUUUCAUGCUAGGCCUGUUGGAUAUGGUCCUAGCCCAGCAAUUUCCAAGGAACAAAUUGAACCUGGUCAUGCUCCCGAUGCUCAUCGAGGGCCAUACAAGGUUCUUUUGAAGCCACAUGAUGGCUGGGGAGAGAAUGACACUGAAGAGAAGAGGGAGCACUCUGUGACUACCAGCGUGCCACAUUCUGAAAGAGGGAACCCUCAGAGAACACCUAUGAGAGAGACUGACUGGGGGGCAGAUAGUAGAAAGGAUGAACAGAUGGAUUUCUCGAAGUCAGCACUAGGUGAAGAAGCUUCUUCUCAACCCAUCAACAAUCUGAGAGGAUUUUCUUCAGUCCCUGAUACUGGAAACCCCUCUGACAAUAGAAGCAAGGUGAAUGCAGUUAAUGAAAGUUUGAUGAAGAAAACUGAGACUGUAGCUAAUCCAGCAGAAGGCCCACAACAGUUUCCUGCUAUCAAGAAAGAUGCUGCUCUGAUUGACAAAAUCGAGGGUUUAAACACAAAAGCCCGGAUUUCCGAUGGCAGGAAUGAAGUUGGACCUGUUUCUUCUCAAGAGGAGAAGACGAGACGCUUCAGGACUGUGAAUGUUAAAGCUGAUCAUUCCACUCACGAGUCUGGCAGCAACGCUGCCUCCAAGGAAAAGCUUUCCACUAGUGGCAUGCUCAAUACUUCCUCUAAGAAUACGGUGGAUGAUUCAACGGGAGACAUGCGCCUGGAACCAACUGUUGGUGGAAGAGAUGUGUCCAGGCCAGUAGAACCUCAGGCUUCUGCAGUCUGUAUGUUAGAUUGUUCAAGGGUUGGAGAAAUGGCUCAUUCUCAGAUUCAGACAAGAGUACAUGGUAUGCAAAGUAGAGCAGAUAAUAGAGGUAAAGGAAGAUUUACUAAUCAGGAGGGUGAGGAGUGGAGGAAGAAGCCUCCUGGAUCAGAAUCAUCUGUUAUAGUUACUGCAACAAAUGCCAAUGCUCAUCUUGACACAUGUGUGCAAGAUUGCCAUGCUUCUCAGGAGUUUCCCGAGAAGCAAGAAUCAAACCCUCCGGAUAAGGGUUGGAGGAAGAAGCCUCCUGGAUCAGAAUCAUCUGUUAUAGUUACUGCAACAAAUGCCAAUGCUCAUCUUGACACACGUGUGCAAGAUCGCCAUGCUUCUCAGGAGUUUGCCGAGAAGCAAGAAUCAAACCCUCCGGAUAAGGCAGGAGCAGACCCAUACACAACAUCCUCUGUCGAUUCAGCUGAUUACAAAGCACAGCGUGCUAAAAUGAAAGAGUUGGCGACACAACGUGCGAAACAACUCCAGAAGGAGGAGGAAGAACGGAUCAGAGAGCAGAGAGCCAAGGCUAUGGCGAAGUUGGAAGAGUUGAACAGGCGGACAUUGGCAGAAAAUCCUACCCAGAAGCUUGAGAAAAAUGCUGUCCCGCAUAAACCGGAGGAAAUACAGGAGCCUGCAGCACCAAAAACCGACACUGGCAUCUGUGGUGAGGCACCGGGCCAUGCAUCUGGUUGGAACUCAGAUGCAGCAAUUCAGGCCAGCGAGAAUGCCAUGAAGCCCAAAGAGUUAGCUGAAUCACCUGUGAACAAACCUUCCGAAGCUUCUUCAAGCUGUGCUCCCCAAGUACCAGCAGUCACAAUUGACCCAUCUGUGCUGUCACAGGAUGCCAAUGCUAAAGAGAUUGCAUCUGAAAAAACUACUUCCCAACUUUCUGAUAAUGGUGCUCAGAAGCCGAAGCAAAUGGGCUACAAAAAAAAGCAGAACCAUGUACAGGAGAAGCAUUUGCCUGACAAGACGGCCACCACUGGGUUUGCUAAAGUUCAAGGAAAUGUGAUUGUCAAUGCAAACACAUCAAAUGCCGAAUCUAGCUGGCCCAGUAACACCAAUACCACUGAUGACCAUCCUCAGCAGCAGCACAAGAAGAAAAACAACAGGAUUGCCAAGAACAGGCACAAGCCCGAUGAGCCUUUGCCGCUUACUGAUUUUCCAUCUUCUGCGCCAACAGAAGGGUAUCCUGCGAAAGCUUCCAUCCAAAGUGGAACGCCGAAGUCUCCGGAAACUGUAGCAGUUGGCAGCUCAGUCCAGGCAGAAGCUUUGAGUGAGGUUGUGAAGGGCCUGGAUUCUCAGGAUGAAGUGGUGGUAUCUGCGGAGCAAGGGUGGUUGCGACCAAUUGAAGAAACCCAUGGAAGAGCAGACAACCAGUGGAAGUCUCAGCCUCACCGGAGGGUAUCCAGAAAUGCACAGUCCUCUAGGCCAGCAGAGAAGUUCCACGGAAAUGAGGGUGCUGCCAUCUGGGCGCCUGUGCGUCCCACGAACAAGGGCGAGCCAUUGGAAGAAUCUGGUGAGAACAUUAACGCUGACAGCGGUCAUUCUUCAGGCAAAAAUGUGCCUGGAGUGCAGAGUAAUUCGAUGAAAGGUAAGAGAGCCGAAAUGGAGAGGUAUGUCCCAAAGCCUGUAGCCAAGGAGUUGUCACAGCAGGAAAACUCUCAGCUGCCCUUGGCUUCCUCUGCUCAAGCUAUAGCUGAUGUGGGGAUGGUGAAAACAGAGCAUGGUUCUCAGAGCACCAAAAGCAGUGGACUGGAUUCCUUGGUGUUUGGGAAAGCAGGACACGCAGCUGAAGCCAAGAAUGUGGAAGUUAAGCAUAUCAAGAAUGGAAAAACGCAUGCAUCGUGGCGUCAACGGGGUCCGGCCGAGUCUUCUGUGGUUUUACAGUCCCCCCGUGAACGGCUAUCUUCCCCUUGUGAUGCAAGCAAGACCGUCCAAAAGCCCACUGACCAGCAACAAAUAUCAAAGAUCGAUGUACAUGGCCUGAAAGAACAGGAAAAUUAUUCUGAUGGCUGGAAUAUGGAUCCGGUUCCAACUGGAUCAAUCGCUGCACCAGUUGUUGUGAAGGAUCAUGGAGGUGCAGGCAGAGGUAAGAGGCAGCAGUCAAGGGUGCAGAGAAGCACAGGGCACAUUCACAGCCCUGUUGAUACCAAGGAUACAGAUGUUGAACCGGUUGGUAAAUCUGAUAAUCAGCCACUCACCUUUGGAUCGGUUGAGUUGGAUGGGAGAAGCAAUUUGAGAAACGAAAACCAAGGCAUCAGUGAACAUGUGCCGUCUCAUUGGCAGCCCAAAUCGCAAGUGUAUUCAGCUCACAGUCGACAGGGAAGGGGCAGCAGUGGUGGUCAAAGACUCGCCGUCCAAGUGAGUAAAAGUCGCGAAAAGGACUUUCUGCAUAUUCCACCGCAAAUUAACAAGGAUAUCAGUGCCCAGUUGCAGCCGCAUCAGUCUGAUGCUCAAAAGGCAAAUGUAGAAAUGAAUAACCCACACCACCAAGAAGUAAAGCGAGAGAUGAAAGGCCCAGAUUCAUCCAAAGAGCAUGCCAGCUUCCCAAACCGAGGCCGACCCCGAUCUCCUGAAGCAGCUCUUGAGAAUGUAGAUGCCCACUAUGAGCAGCCUGUUUCUACAGGGAUCCGCCGACAGGGACAGCACAGUGGCCGUUUCAACAGAGGGCAGGAAGCACCUUAUGGUGGCAGUCGGAGCGGCCCGCCGGGGCAAGAUGCUAACAAGCAACAACUACCCACAAAUGGAGACAGGCGGAAGCAUGGUUCACACUAUGAAUACCAGCCAGUCGGGUCCUAUAACAAGCCCGACAACUCGUUCCGUCAAGAAGAAUUGCGGGAUGGUUUACAUGGUACGGGCUCAAGGUACAGAGAGCGGGGCCAGAAUCACCCAAGGCGUGGGGGCCACUUCUAUGGGCGCAAUAGUGGUGUUACUGCUGCUUAUGCCACUGGGGAUUGAAAACCCACAAACUGCAUUUUCUUGUUUGGAAACUGUUAGCUUAGGCCUGCCCAUCCGAAGUGAGUGAAGUUUGAUCGAGAUGGGGCCCGCAUGAGCAACGGCUACAGGUAUGGAUGUUCUUGACUUUGAUGUUUAGGAUGUGUCCGUUUUGAACAGCUUUGUUUCUUUACCAAAGUAUUUUAAUGUACCAGAACCUUUGGCAGUCUUUCCAAGCCGCCUAUAUUUAGUUGCCGUUCAUGUGGUAGGUGCUAAAAAAGAGGAUAUCUGUGGGAAAAAAAGGAAAAGAAAGAAAAGAUGUGUUUCCUGUAUCUGUGAAGGAUAUACACUGAAUGACACCAUUAUGUCUCUCUAAUUGGAAGAAAAACAAGGGUGUGGCUGAGUUGCGCUCC